GACACUAUGCAGUCGUUGAUUGGUUUGUUUGGAGAAACAAAAGUGGGUGACCAGUGCUAUUGCUUUCGAUUGACACUACCAGCACGGUAUGAAUUCAAUAAUGAUUUUCCUCAUAAAAUUGCCAGGAGGGUUUAGUUACUCAAUUACAGAUGUCUAUUAGGGCAAAGGCGUUCACUACAGCUAGACUGCGCAAGGAUCCAAAGUCACUAUCAACUGACGGCUGGAAUAGCAGGGAAAUUAGCCAGUGAUGGCUUUGUGCAAGCAUUAUUCAUCUCACGUCUGGACACAGAGGGACAAAUUACGAAGAUAAAAGAUUGACGAGAUGAUUGACCGAGAGGAGAACAAAAGCCCCACAGGCAUCUUAAGAGGGAUGAGGACAUGCACAGCUAUCUGAAGAAACACACACACACACACACAACUUGCCAUGUUGUGUGUGUUGUUGCAGCUAUUGUCAAUGGAAUCGGAUGAAAGUGUCAGUCGGAUGCUGAUACAUGGAGGGGAGACUUGCCCAUUUUAUGGUUUAGCCUUCUUGAGGCAGCACUCUAAAAAAUUUUAAUGAAAAGAAAGGCAAGAUACAAUAUGUCUGGCUGUCAAAUAGAUCUCAAAAUGCAUUCAAACAGUUGAUAGUGGAAUACAGUACAUUAACAUUUUUGGGGGGCAAAGAAAACUCUCAAAAUUUGGACAUUGCCUAGUGAUCACUGGCAGAGCCAGGAAUUUUUCCAUUGGGUGGCCAGCAGGUGGCCCGAAAAUUACUGGGUUGCCACGAAAUUUGUCGGCACUACUGUUUUGGUUAGCAACCAAGUAAAACCACUAGCUUUCCGCAACAUAAACGUGGAUGCACACAACCCAGUGGAGUAACCACAUCAGUCUACUAGAACAUUAACCACUGUUAAACAGACUCCCCAUUUCAUCUGAGAGUUUACUGUAUGCGUCUCUGUUCAUGCACUGUUUUGAUUAACAAGAGAGUAAAAAUGUCAGUUCCCUGUAACAAAGAUGAAUGGACACAAAACUGCACUCCUUUGUAGGUAGUUGCUGCUGUUGUGGUUAGCAACUGAGUUCAAAUAGGCACAGGAGUUAACUCUCUUGUUCGUGUGUGAAGAAUAGUGUGACGUAAUUACACUUAGUACACAUUUUAACCUUCACCGCUUGGCAUGAGCGCCCAUUUAGUAAUUGAAUUUUUGUUUGAAAAAAAACAACAACAGUAAAAACAUUAACUCCCCAGAAUAGAAGGCUCCAGCUCGCCCGUGACCUUUAUGAGGACAAGUGCCAUAGAAAAGGGAGUCACAUGGUCAUGGAGGGCAACCCAAAACCUCCUGCACUGGCUCAGACAGAGUGAGGAUCGCUUUACAGCUGGAUUCCAAUCUCAAAGCCACUCACAUGGCGGCUGAUGAGGGGGGAACCAGAAUGCUUUCCCAUGGAUUGGUCGACAUAAAUCAAGUCCUCGCCCACAGCGCACAGAGGUGUCCUUUUACACGCAGAUCUCCAUGGGGGGAGAUCCCAUUCCUUGCAUUAGUUCUGCCACAUGUCCUUCACUUCUAUGUGUAAUGACAGCAGUUGACUGUGUCCGUAGAAGGACUGCUUUUUGCGAAGAUCACUUCCUUAUGAGUGUCAAGAGGAGAAAAUACAGUGGAAACUGUGUAUUUGUUCAGUAAAUG